rnacentral:lncRNA from 1 species
GAUUUACGCGCACGUUGGAACCGAAGAGAGCUCUGUUGUUGCAAUGUUCAGCCCACAAGAGCUUACUGGUGAAGGAAUGGGACAAGACCCAUCUUUAUGCAAAGCCAGCGUUACAGUAAUGUUCCAGGUAUUCCUGAUGACAGUCUGCCUCUAUCUUACAGAGCAGCUUGUUGCUAUAUACCAUUGAAAAGCCUUCAGAGCUGAGAGGUUAGUUGAUAUUUUUUGUUCCUUACAGCUUAUGCCACCAAGUAGGCAGUUUCUAUGAUGAAUCAAACUAGCUCACUAUGACCGACAGUGAAAAUACAUGAACACCUGAGAAACUGGAGAACGCAGGGAGUGGGGGGUAACCAUGUCUGAGGAAUCUUUCACCCACAGCUUUGUUUUUCUCUAGGUACUACUAACCAAUAACCUGCUUGGCUCAAAGGUGAGUAAUUUCACGGUAUUCAAUGCACUCAGUAUAUAGGGUAGGAAAAAGUGCCUUUUUAGGCCUGUGUUUGUGAUGACUUACAUGGAAUCUCGUUCGGCUGAUGACUUGCUGUUGAGACUCUGAAAUCUGAUUUUCUGAGAAUGAUGGGUGGGAACAACAUAAUGCGGGAUAUGAGAAGCACUACUGACUUGGUCUUCCUCCUUUCAGGGCCAGCACCUUCUCUCUAAAGCCCAAGAGGAGUUUGAGGUAAAUGGCUUUGCAAUAGUUACCAUCAAUGGCUGCUAUAUAAAAUUUUCUGUGAUUUUUGUGUGUGAUAGCACUGUGGUCUGGGUGAAUGUACACAGACAUAACUGGCUUAACCCAAAGUCUUUGAUCUCCUGAACCACCAGUGAUGAAUUGCUGCUCACCAGUGAUGAGUUGAAUACCGCCCCAGUCUGAUCAAUGUGUGACUGAAAGGUAUUUUCUGAGCUGUGAGCCUGCCUUCCAGUGACAUGUUCUAAAAAUUGCAAGUUAUUUGAGGAGGCUUUACAGCCAAUAGGAAGUUCUUGGGCUAAGUAGUGUUUCCUAUAAAAUGUGCCCUGAAACUUCUUUCUGCCAAGCAAUAGAUACAAUUGAGAGAUUGUAAAAUGUGACAUAGAAUGAAAGUCUCUCAAGACUACAUUUUUCUUUCUUGAUUUUGCAGGAAAACUAGGUGUCUGUGUUCACUCCAGGCUGAAGUUACAGGUCUGAGCAAAUAAGGUGUAUAAAAAAUGGUAGGUAUCUGUUUAAAUAUUUAACUGAUUUUAUAAUAGCAACCUUUUGCUCCUAGGUUACAUAGUGUUAAAUAUUGUGUUCAUUUGUAUUUUCCAAUCCAAUAAGAACUUUUUUUUUUACCUCUGCAGGAAUCUGUCUUGGAGGACAUCAGAAGGUGAAUUUUCCAAGUUCUUGGACAACCUAGCUGUUGAAAAGCUUUCUGGGUUUGGGGGGUAUUUCAGAUGUACCUUAAAGUGUUAGCAGACACAGAUUAAGACACUGGGAGCCAAUGAAACAGCAGUUGAGGGUUUGCUGUGUAUCACAUUUCUGUAUUUUAUCACCCCCUUCCUGCAACAUUAUUUAUCUGGAAUCUACCUGCCCUUUUGUUUUUUAGAUACAAGGGCUUGGUUUUGUUACCCAGGCUGGUUUCAAGGCCAUAGCUUUAAGAGAUCCUCUCACCACAGAUUUCCAAAGUGCUGGGAUUGCAGGUGUGAUUCAUGGCACCCAGACUUUGCUGCCUUUCUUACAUGAUCCAGGCCCAGAACCCAAACUCAGGCACUGUAUAGAUGACCACUUUCGUAAACUACUGACCUAGCUUGUUGCCAAUUGUUGAUUGAACUUCCCAUAACUCCACUUCGUGUCUGUUCCUCUGUAUACAGCCACCUUCUGUUCCCGUCAUGAGCCUUUAGGUCUCCAUUUGCAUAUUGCAAAUACUAUGUUCCAUGUAGGUAGCUCAUUCAGGGCCUUGCUCUUCACUUCAAAAAAGGUUCCCUUGAGGACUGGCUGUCAAUUUGUGUUGCUGUGUUGGUUGUUGAUGAAAAUAAUAAAAUGAUUGAUUACAU